GUGUGUUCUAAGUUCCAUGCACCAAGACGUGACGAUCGGUGACGGCAGAAAGAGGAAACCCAACACGAUAACAGACUAUAACCACAUGAAGUGUGGUGUAGACGUGUUGGACCAAAUGGCACGGAUGUAUUCCGUAAGAGCAGCAACACGCAGGUGGCCAGUAGCGGUUUUCUACAAUAUGCUGGACCUGGCGGCAGUGAAUGCCUACAUUUUGUACAAGGCAUGUACAGGGUGGACAGGCAAAAGAA